UAGAGAUUAUAGUCACAAACAACUUGCUUAGAAUCUGGCAAUUAAAGCAGUCUCUAGGCUAAUUUUCCCAAAUUGUAUCAUGAUCUGGGGUGACAAGUGUCUAUACACGAUUACAGAAUCCAGUUUCAAGCGUGGUGCAUGGGUAUAAUCUCAGCAACUGGCGGCUGAGGCAGGAGGACUAGGAUCUCAAGUUCAAGACCAGUCUGGGGAAUUUAGCAAGACCAUGUCUAAAAAUAAAAUUAAGAGAGCUGGGGAUAUGGCUUAGUGGUAGAUGCUUACCUAGAAUGUACAAGGACCUGGGUUUAUCACCAGUUCUGGAAAAAAACAAACAAACAAAAACAGAAUCAAAUUACUAUUUAGCACUUCCUUUGGGGACUUUUGUGUAUGGGUUGAUUUGGAACCCUGAAUAGGUCAAAUAAAAUGAUUUCUCAUAGAAAUCUUUUUCAUGCAAUGUAAUGGGUAGACUCAAAUAAAAUCUAAAAGUAAGGUCUAAAAUAAAUAUAUAAUAAGUAUUCUGUGGGUCACAUACAGUUUUAUGAAUUAAGCAGAAUAGGUUGCUUAAAAAAUUAGAUGCUAUUUUUCUAUAGAGAUUUCUUUAAAUGAAUCCUUUUUAUUUUAAGAUGGAAAUAUUCUAAAGAGGUGUAGUUUUGAUGGAUAAAAUUCAAACAACACUGCAGUUUCUUCAGUUAUCACUGAUUAGUUGAAAGGAAUAUUUGUAUGAUGUUCUAAAAUCAAAGUAUUAACAAUAGUACUGAUUUGCACAUUUUACACAUGCAUGUUAUUUUUUUAAAAAGUAAAAUUGACAUUUUAAAACAUGCAUAAGUUUUAAAUUAUGCAUAUUUCAUAUAAAUAUACCCAGAAAUUUCAUUUCUAGGAUAAACUCUCAAAACAUAUUCACAGCAAUACACUGAUUAACAUCAAAAGAACUGUUAUUGCUGCUUCAAGAUAGUUUCUAUGGCCCGGAUUUCUUUUCUUUCCUUUUUUAAAAACCAAGUAUCCUCUAAUUUGUGGAUAUCUCCAUGUUUCAGAUCUCAAUACCUGUUUGAAUUAAAUUUGCAGGGGAAUAACUGCAGGAUCCCCCCAUAGACAAACUAUAG
rnacentral:lncRNA from 1 species